GCCUGCGUGGCUCAGUCGGUUGAGUGUCUGACUUUGGCUCAGGUCAUGAUCUCGCAGUUCGUGAGUUCGAACCCCACGUCGGGCU
rnacentral:tRNA from 1 species